GCGUCUGUAAAGAAAGAUGCUUAUUUCAGUGCUUUGAACAUCAUAACCCAUAGUCUCGGAAAUGUUUUAAUGAUCUCUAAGAAGAUUAAAAAGUCCAGUGGGAGGUUUCUUAUCAUCAGCCAAAGGAAUGAUAAAUUGGAUUUCAUACAGGACAUGUUUCCACUUCCAAAACAUGACCCAGAUUUUACUUGUCAGCUUUCUAGCACUAAGCACUGUAUCCAAGCUUCAUUUCUUCUAAGACAAAUUGUUUUAACAAUUUGCGCACUACAGUGAAAAUAUGCUUUGCCUCUAUAUCACUCCACUCACUACUCACAGCUGUCUUUUCCUGAUCUUUGCCUGAAGUAACCUUUAGGAGCCACAUCAUCUGCUAUUCACCUGUCACUUGUCACCACAUGUCGAUCCUGUCACCCACAUUAGAAACCUGGUAGUCAUCCUGGACUCCCUCCCUCUCCACAUGCCUUCCACAUGUGGUUUUAAGUACCUCAUAUGCGUCAGGCAAAAUGUGUGCAGAAGGCCGGGGUGAGGGAGGAGGAGGAGAUGAAACAUGGACCCUAUGGAUACACAGCAACAAAGAUAACAUCUCAGAGAGGAACCUUCCCAACAAAAAAACUUCCCUUCUUGCAAAAAUUGCAGUUAAUUCCAACAGCUUGUGUGGACCUCUGAAGACAGGCAGGCAAAGUGUGUUACCUGACUUCAUUUGCUGGAAUGAGUGAACCCUUUGUAUACUUCGAGACUUUGGCUGAGACACAGAGUAGAAGGAAGCAGAGUUUGUCCUGCUGAACACCAACUGCUUGAUUCGAGGACUUCGUCUCAAACUCACCACUGUAAGACCAGAAUCAGUUAGUACCAAGAAGAAAUGCAAGCUCGGUGUUUCCCCUAUGAGAUGGGUAAGAUCUAUGUGACACCAUGCACAAGAGGGGCUUCCCUGGUGCCUCAGUCGGUAAAGAGUCCACCUGCAAUGCAGGAGACCUGGGUUCCGUCCCUGGGUCAGGAAGAUCCUGGAGAAAGGAAUAGCUACCCACUCCAGUAUUCUGGAGUGAAGAAUUCUUCACCACUGAAGAAUUCCAUGGACAGAGACGCCUGGUGGGCCACAGUCUGUGGGACUGCAGAGAGUCGGACGUGACUGAGCGACUAACACUUUCAUGUACAAGAUGGAAAACUUGGUUUCCAACAAGCUCUUGGUUUUGAGAUCUUUGAAGUGUGACAAAGCUAAGAGGGCUAUGAUAUGUGGCCCCAGCAAACUUCCCCCCAAAAAACCAAACAAAAAACUCGACCCCUGCAGACUGUAACCUGCAUUAAGUAUUAUGAACUGCCACCCUGAAGCAUUAUGUAGAGUGAUAAAAAAGGUUUGUAGAGUG